UCCUCCGUGGCGCAAUUGGCUAGCGCGUCAGACUGUUAAUCUGGAGGCUCCUGGUUCGACCCCAGGCGGAGGAG